UGAGAUUUACGGCGGACGGGUGAGUAACACGUGGGCAACCUGCCUAUAAAACUGGGAUAACUUCGGGAAACCGGAGCUAAUACCGGAUACGUUCUUUUCUCGCAUGAGAGAAGAUGGAAAGACGGUUUACGCUGUCACUUAUAGAUGGGCCCGCGGCGCAUUAGCUAGUUGGUGAGGUAAUGGCUCACCAAGGCGACGAUGCGUAGCCGACCUGAGAGGGUGAUCGGCCACACUGGGACUGAGACACGGCCCAGACUCCUAC
rnacentral:rRNA from 1 species